rnacentral:rRNA from 1 species
AUUGAACGCUGGCGGCAGGCCUAACACAUGCAAGUCGAGCGGAUGAAGGGAGCUUGCUCCUGGAUUCAGCGGCGGACGGGUGAGUAAUGCCUAGGAAUCUGCCUGGUAGUGGGGGAUAACGUCCGGAAACGGGCGCUAAUACCGCAUACGUCCUGAGGGAGAAAGUGGGGGAUCUUCGGACCUCACGCUAUCAGAUGAGCCUAGGUCGGAUUAGCUAGUUGGUGGGGUAAAGGCCUACCAAGGCGACGAUCCGUAACUGGUCUGAGAGGAUGAUCAGUCACACUGGAACUGAGACACGGUCCAGACUCCUACGGGAGGCAGCAGUGGGGAAUAUUGGACAAUGGGCGAAAGCCUGAUCCAGCCAUGCCGCGUGUGUGAAGAAGGUCUUCGGAUUGCAAAGCACUUUAAGUUGGGAGGAAGGGCAGUAAGUUAAUACCUUGCUGUUUUGACGUUACCAACAGAAUAAGCACCGGCUAACUUCGU